rnacentral:rRNA from 1 species
UACAGAGGUCUCAAGCGUUGUUCGGAUUCAUUGGGCGUAAAGGGUGCGUAGGUGGCGCGCUAAGUCAGGUGUGAAAUUUCGGAGCUUAACUCCGAAACUGCAUUUGAUACUGGCGUGCUUGAGGACUGGAGAGGAGACUGGAAUUCACGGUGUAGCAGUGAAAUGCGUAGAGAUCGUGAGGAAGACCAGUGGCGAAGGCGGGUCUCUGGACAGUUCCUGACACUGAGGCACGAAGGCCAGGGGAGGCAAACGGG